UAACCUGCCCUUAACUCUGGGAUAAGCCUGGGAAACUGGGUCUAAUACCGGAUAUGACCCGUCACCGCAUGGUGGUGGGAGGAAAGAUUUUUUGGUUUUGGAUGGACUCGCGGCCUAUCAGCUUGUUGGUGAGGUAAUGGCUCACCAAGGCGACGACGGGUAGCCGGCCUGAGAGGGUGACCGGCCACACUGGGACUGAGACACGGCCCAGACUCCUACGGGAGGCAGCAGUGGGGAAUAUUGCACAAUGGGCGCAAGCCUGAUGCAGCGACGCCGCGUGAGGGAUGAAGGCCUUCGGGUUGUAAACCUCUUUCAGUAGGGAAGAAGCGAAAGUGACGGUACCUGCAGAAGAAGCGCCGGCUAACUACGUGCCAGCAGCCGCGGUAAUACGUAGGGCGCAAGCGUUAUCCGGAAUUAUUGGGCGUAAAGAGCUCGUAGGCGGUUUGUCGCGUCUGCCGUGAAAGUCCGGGGCUCAACUCCGGAUCUGCGGUGGGUACGGGCAGACUAGAGUGAUGUAGGGGAGACUGGAAUUCCUGGUGUAGCGGUGAAAUGCGCAGAUAUCAGGAGGAACACCGAUGGCGAAGGCAGGUCUCUGGGCAUUAACUGACGCUGAGGAGCGAAAGCAUGGGGAGCGAACAGGAUUAGAUACCCUGGUAGUCCAUGCCGUAAACGUUGGGCACUAGGUGUG
rnacentral:rRNA from 1 species